rnacentral:tRNA from 1 species
GGUAAAAUGGCUGAAAUUAAUAGGCGUUAAAUUGUAAAUUUAAUUAUGGGAAUGUAUUCUCUUUUAUCA